rnacentral:lncRNA from 1 species
CCUGUCUCCUCAUUAGCACUAAGCCUCAUGACCUCAGCUGUCUGCACCUCUUGAACGUUUCUCCUCAAAAACACCAUGAACAUUCAUGCUUCUUUUUCCUCAUAUCAUUCAAAAAAUAUGAUUUUAAAUUAUAAGGGGCCUUAUGAAAUAAAAAUGUCUAAGAAAAGAAAUAUAUCUCAUUAAGAUGAAGGCCUCAUUUUCAGUAAGAUGUAAGUAAAAUAAAACUUACAUCCUGACUUUUUAGAAAAUGCUCUGUUAUGUAACCUAUAACUAGGUGGUAUGGCAUAGAAGUUUCUUCCACUAUAUAUUGAUGGAGUUUCAAAGAUAUGAAGGUGCUGUGGUCUGGAUGUACCACCAAAUUCUGGUGUUGAAAUCCUAACCCUCAAAGAGGUGGGGCCUUUGGGAGGUGAUUAGAUCAUGAGGGUGGAUCCCUUAACUCUUCCAUUAUAUGAGGACAAACCAAAAAACUGAACCAAGUCUGAACUAGGAAGCUGGCCCUCACCAAGCACCGCACCUGCCAGCACCUUGGACUUCCCAGCCUCCAGAACGGAAAGAAGACCAAGAUGUAAGCACACCUGAGCAGAUCCUUUUCCAAGUAUCCUGAUGUCUCCAAGGGCUGUUCAGAUUCCAAAGAGAACUAUCUACAAGUUAAUCUCUGUUACUGGAGUCAUUCAUUCUCCGUAGUAAUCUGCUCCACAGAAUUCCUCUUCUCUUCCCUCCCAUAACCUGUUUUACCAGGAUCCAAGCCUCCAUUCUUUCUGUAACCUCAUUGGGAAGUUGGUUCUUCAUUUGGAAGGCUCCCAUGUGUACAUGUUAAAUAAAUAUCUAUGCCUUUUCUUCUGUUAAUCAGUCUGCUUCAGUCAGUGAUUUUUAGUGAAACUUUAGGGG